GCUGUGAUGGCCGAGUGGUUAAGGCGUUGGACUCGAAAUCCAAUGGGGUCUCCGCGCGCAGGUUCGAACCCUGCUCGCAGCG
rnacentral:tRNA from 1 species